rnacentral:rRNA from 1 species
GCAGUAGCCACGGUAAUACGAAGGGUGCAAGCGUUAAUCGGAAUUACUGGGCGUAAAGCGUGCGUAGGCGGUGAGUUAAGUCUGCUGUGAAAUCCCCGGGCUCAACCUGGGAAUGGCAGUGGAUUCUGGCUCGCUAGAGUGUGUCAGAGGAUGGUGGAAUUCCCGGUGUAGCGGUGAAAUGCGUAGAGAUCGGGAGGAACAUCAGUGGCGAAGGCGGCCAUCUGGGACAACACUGACGCUGAGGCACGAAAGCGUGGGGAGCAAACAGGAUUAGAUACCCCAGUAGUCCCUGUCUCUUAUAC